GUUGCUUUUUGGCUCUAUGUAAGUUGCACUUCAGGAUUCACUUUGUUGUUUUCCCUUGGCAUGUGGUCCUUUUGAAUUAUAUCCAAGUUGUAGCUUUUGGAUCACCUAGUUGCUUUCUGACUUCAUGUAGGUUACAGUUUUGCAUUCACUUUCUUGUAUUUUUUCUGCCGGUAUUAUUUCGUGGAUGAGCUAAGUUCAUUUUUGUAUGCUCAUUAAAUUGCAUAUCCAGUGAUUUCUGUUAUGUUUUUUUUAUUAAGUUGCAUAUCUUGGGAUCUUAGUUGUUUUUUGUCUGCUCAUUAAGUUGCAUAUCCAGUAAUCUUAUUACCUUCUUUUGUUGGUUUGGGUAGCUUAUCAAGCAUGUCGCUCGAUAUCUUAUUACCUUUCUGUAUGCUCAUUAAGUCACAUAUACAGGGAUCUUGAGAGUGCGGCCGGCUGUCAGCUGCGAAUGCCAUCCAUCACAUUGUUGGUGCUUAGAGCGAUCCCUAGCCGGUGCUGCCAGCCAUGGUACUUCACGCGAACUCGUGGCCAUCCGACCAAUAAUCGCGCACCGGAGUCAGGAUUCUGCUGGAAAAAGCACCGUCAGAAUGCAAUAUGUCGGAAGAUCAACAAUUGACGGAAAUUACACGGAAAAUCUUAUUUUUCCAGAAGACGGAGAUAGCCAAAAGGAGGAGCCGAGGAGGGCCACCAUGGCCCCCCCCAUAGGCCGGCGCGGGCCCAGGCCUGGCCGCGCCGCCUUGUGGGGAGGGGGCCCACAGCCCCCUCUGGCCUCCUCUCCUUCGCGUACUUCUUCACCCCGAAAACCUAAGCUCCAGGGGAUAGUCGCGAAGAGUCACAGCCGCCUCUGCGGGGCGGAAAACACCAGAGAGAAAAGAGCUCUCCGGCAGGCUGAAAUCUGCCGGGGAAAUUCCCUCCCGGAGGGGGAAAUCGAUGCCAUCGUCACCGUCAUCGAGCUGAACAUCAUUGGGAUCAUCAUCACCAUCAUCUCCAUCAUCAUCACUGCCAUCUCCACCGCUGCACCUUGUCACCGCUGUAACAUCUAGGGUUGAAUCUUGAUUGUUUGAUAGGGGAAACUCUCCCGGUAUUGAUUUCUACUUGUUAUUGAUGCUAUUGAGUGAAACUAUUGGACCAAGGUUUAUGUUCAGAUUGUUA